ensembl:lncRNA
GGGGAAUAACUUUUCCACGAUAUUCUCAUUUUUUGAGAUGCACCUCUACCUAAGGGUGUGCAAACUUUUGCACGCAACACUAUCAAAUCGCAUACAGUAUAAUCAUGAAAACUGGCAAGAGGUACACUAGCCUAACUUUGAUCAUUUCAGUGUGUGUGUGUGUGUAGUUUUUAAGAUAUCUACUAAGUAUGCUGUGUCCUGCCUCUAUAAUGUCAUGUAGCCUUGUCCAGUGUGGCUGCGCUCGAUUUGCGCAGAUUAAACACUCUCAUUAGGUCAAUGAAGCACCAGGAGGGUCGCGUGAGGGGCGGGACCGCGAGCCAAAAAAACGGAAAGUCACGGCUAGUGCAGACUUCCUUUCUCCAAGGUGUCACAUCCAGGCAAAAAAAAAAGAGAGAGAGAGAGAGGAAAAAGUCGACAAAAACAAGGUUUCUCUCCAGAACCAUUUUGAAUGCUCUGGGAAAAAACCCCGAGGCGCGUGCAAAAAGUUCAAGCAGGCCUUUUCUUUCAAACACUCCAUGAAAAGUGGGCUCCGGUGUUGUUUACAUGAUUUUUAAAGGAUAAAAUACUCCUACACGGAUAAGGUGGAUACAAUGGCUGACCAGGAAAUAUCUAUGGAUGACAGUAUAACAGAAUGCCGGAUCGCAUUGUGGCAAACCUGCACCAAAGGCAACACACGGUCCGG